UACGAAGGUGGCAACCGUUGCUCGGAUUCACUGGGCAUAAAGCGCGCGUAGGUGGCUGUGAAAGUCAUCGGUGAAAUCCUACCGCCCAACGGUGGAACUGCCGGUGAAACUCCACGGCUUGAGGACGGGAGGGGAGAGUGGAACUCCUGGUGUAGCGGUGAAAUGCGUAGAUAUCAGGAGGAACGCCGGUGGCGAAAGCGACUCUCUGGACCGUACCUGACACUGAGGCGCGAAAGCUAGGGGAGCAAACAGG
rnacentral:misc_RNA from 1 species